rnacentral:pre_miRNA from 1 species
UACAAUCCAGUGAAGAUUCUAAUUUCUCCACAUCUUUGGUAAUAAGUUUUGGCAAAGAUGUGGAAAAAUUGGAAUCCUCAUUGGAUUGGUUAUAACCA